rnacentral:rRNA from 1 species
AGAAUAUCGGAGACGGAUGGGCAUGCGGCGCAUUAGCUAGUUGGCGGGGUAACGGCCCACCAAGGCGACGAUGCGUAGGGGUUCUGAGAGGAAGGUCCCCCACACUGGUACUGAGACACGGACCAGACUCCUACGGGAGGCAGCAGUGAGGAAUAUUGGUCAAUGGGCGAGAGCCUGAACCAGCCAAGUCGCGUGAGGGAGUACUGCCCUAUGGGUUGUAAACCUCUUUUGUCGGGGAGCAAAAGCCGGACGUGUCCGGCUGUGAGAGUACCCGAAGAAAAAGCAUCGGCUAACUCCGUGCCAGCAGCCGCGGUAAUACGGAGGAUGCGAGCGUUAUCCGGAUUUAUUGGGUUUAAAGGGUGCGCAGGCGGAUUUUUAAGUCAGCGGUCAAAUCGUGGGGCUCAACCCCAUCCAGCCGUUGAAACUGGGGAUCUAGAGUGUGCGAGAGGUAUGCGGAAUGCGUGGUGUAGCGGUGAAAUGCAUAGAUAUCACGCAGAACCCCGAUUGCGAAGGCAGCAUACCGGUGCACAACUGACGCUCAGGCACGAAAGCGUGGGUAUCGAACAGGAUUAGAUACCCUGGUAGUCCACGCAGUAAACGAUGAAUGCUACCUGUUUGGCCAGAUUGAAGGCUGAGCGGG